AGGGAGAAAUAUUUUAAUAAAAGUAAAAAAAAAAAAAGCAUCUGGGGGCUUCAGCCUACCCUUCACUAGGCGUACGUGGGUAAGCCAAUCAUAAUUUAAAAUUAAAAUUGAAUUUAGAUUUUUCUAAGCGAUCAAUCUAAAUAUUUCCCAUCUAGCGCAGCAUGCAGUGUACCUGCGACUGCGAGUGAAGUUAAAUGGAUUUUGCGUUUG
rnacentral:lncRNA from 1 species